rnacentral:rRNA from 1 species
GACGAACGCUGGCGGCGUGCUUAACACAUGCAAGUCGAACGGAAAGGCCCUGCUUUUGUGGGGUGCUCGAGUGGCGAACGGGUGAGUAACACGUGAGUAACCUGCCCUUGACUUUGGGAUAACUUCAGGAAACUGGGGCUAAUACCGGAUAGGAGCUCCUGCUGCAUGGUGGGGGUUGGAAAGUUUCGGCGGUUGGGGAUGGACUCGCGGCUUAUCAGCUUGUUGGUGGGGUAGUGGCUUACCCAGGCUUUGACGGGUAGCCGGCCUGAGAGGGUGACCGGCCACAUUGGUACUGAGAUACGGCCCAGACUCCUACGGGAGGCAGCAGGGGGGAAUAUUGCACAAUGGGCGGAAGCCUGAUGCAGCAACGCCGCGUGCGGGAUGACGGCCUUCGGGUUGUAAACCGCUUUCGCCUGUGACGAAGCGUGAGUGACGGUAAUGGGUAAAGAAGCACCGGCUAACUACGUG